UCGUGCUAGACGGGGAAGUAGCGGCGCCCUGUAGCCCGCAAUCCGCUAUAGCGGGGUUGAAUUCCUCGUUUGAGGUUCUUCAUUUCGGGAUGUGAUUCGGACAGUACGCGGUGUCGAUCGCCAGGUCCUGCGCAACGGACGAUUGCCGAACCCCGUCAGGACCGGAAGGUAGCAGCGGUAGGUAACCCGGCCGUGUGCCGCGGGGGCCCCUGGCGGGAGCUGGCGCUUUCCGAAUACCCCGGUCUGAAAGCCGAAGCGGGGUGCACGG
rnacentral:SRP_RNA from 2 species